GACAGCGCUAUCCGACGCGGGAUGAAAAAACGCCAGUCUUGAAAACCGGCGACCCGUAAGGGUUCGUGAGUUCGAAUCUCACCGCUUCCGCCA
rnacentral:tRNA from 1 species